CCUACGGGAGACUGCAGUGGGGAAUAUUGGGCAAUGGGCGCAAGCCUGACCCAGCAACGCCGCGUGAAGGAAGAAGGCUUUCGGGUUGUAAACUUCUUUUCUCAGGGACGAAGCAAGUGACGGUACCUGAGGAAUAAGCCACGGCUAACUACGUGCCAGCAGCCGCGGUAAUACGUAGGUGGCAAGCGUUAUCCGGAGUUACUGGGUGUAAAGGGCGUGUAGGCGGGACGGCAAGUCAGAGGUGAAAACCAUGGGCUCAACCUCUGGCCUGCAUUUGAAACUGUCGUUCUUGAGUACUGGGGAGGCAGUCGGAAUUCCUAGUGUAGCGGUGAAAUGCGUAGAUAUUAGGCGGAACACCAGUGGCGAAGGCGGUCUGCUGGACAGCAACUGUCGCUGAGGCGCGAAAGCGUG
rnacentral:rRNA from 1 species